GCCGAUUUAGCUCAGGGGUAGAGCAACCGCCUUGUAAGCGGUAGGUCGUCAGUUCGAAUCCGACAAUCGGCA
rnacentral:tRNA from 1 species